GGCCUCCUCUUCCUGGAAGCCCUCCCCAUGUCCUGGGACCUGGUGAGGGGUCUCCCUGGCUCUCCCACAGACCCUGUACUGAGGCCCAGCAAGGCACGGGUGGUCCACAGGGAUGCAAUGUGGGACCCCCUUCUGUAAACAGGGGUUGACCUACCAUUCAGGGCACAAGUCCCAGGGACCCUGAAGGCCUGCUGCCUCCGGAGAGAGCCCCCCAGGGCUGCAGGCGGGGGAUAAGCCAGGCUAUUUUCAUCAUUUCCUUCCUCCCACUCGAGCGGCGGCCACCAUCGGCGUCCACCUCAGUCUCGCCCAGGACAGUUCAGGCCACAGAAAGGGGUGCCAGCUGCAGGCCUCACAAGUAAGUGGCCCUCCUUAUUACCCAGCACCACCGCCCACAGCCACCCCCACCCAGGUGGGACGGUGGGACGGGGCCUAGCAGGGAAAGGAGGCCAGCCACCCGGCCCGCCUCUGUCCCCCCUUCAGCUUUCCCCUCCAGAAGACGGGGUUGGGUGGGGGCACUGGCUCUGAGACACUGGCUCCUUGGUUGAUUCAUCUAAUAUUCACUGCCUGCCGUGGGCCAGGCCCUGGUGGGGAGAGCCUGUCUUGGGAAGGGGAAGCAAUCGUGGGAAAGUCGGCGAACCAGGCAAGAGCCUGGAGCUCAUGAGGCCUCAUGAGGAAUUGGAGUCCCUUCUCGGACGCAGACCACAGGGUGACCCUGCAUGAAUCACUUUCUGUCUCUGGGCCUCGAUUUCCCCAACUCUGAGCGCUAACCUAGAUGUGUGGCUUUCCAGAGGGAACCCCUUCUGGGGCUCCCUCCCGGUCCCCACCUCAGCAUCCUCAUUCUGCUGUUUUCUACAUCGGGUAGCACGUAAGAGUUCACCGGGCCACAGCUACACUCACCUUCCGGCCUUCUGAGUGUCCCGGGAGGCUCAGCUAGGCCUGGGUUGGGCGCCGUCACUUCCUGCAGUCUUCACCACCCCAUUUCACGGAGGAGAAGGCUGAGGCCUGAGAAAGGAGCCAGCCUGCCAAUGCCUGCCUGGGGGGCCCUGUUGCUGCUCUGGGAUGCCGCAGAGGCCGUCAAGGACUGCCCCGCGGAGUGCACCUGCCAGGCCCUGGAAACCAUGGGGCUGUGGGUGGACUGCCGGGGGCGGGGGCUCACGGCCC
rnacentral:lncRNA from 1 species